CAAGGCGACGAUCCCUAGCUGGUCUGAGAGGAUGACCAGCCACACUGGAACUGAGACACGGUCCAGACUCCUACGGGAGGCAGCAGUGGGGAAUAUUGCACAAUGGGCGCAAGCCUGAUGCAGCCAUGCCGCGUGUAUGAAGAAGGCCUUCGGGUUGUAAAGUACUUUCAGCGGGGAGGAAGGUGUUGUGGUUAAUAACCGCAGCAAUUGACGUUACCCGCAGAAGAAGCACCGGCUAACUCCGUGCCAGCAGCCGCGGUAAUACGGAGGGUGCAAGCGUUAAUCGGAAUUACUGGGCGUAAAGCGCACGCAGGCGGUCUGUCAAGUCGGAUGUGAAAUCCCCGGGCUCAACCUGGGAACUGCAUUCGAAACUGGCAGGCUUGAGUCUUGUAGAGGGGGGUAGAAUUCCAGGUGUAGCGGUGAAAUGCGUAGAGAUCUGGAGGAAUACCGGUGGCGAAGGCGGCCCCCUGGACAAAGACUGACGCUCAGGUGCGAAAGCGUGGGGAGCAAACAGGAUUAGAUACCCUGGUAGUCCACGCCGUAAACGAUGUCUACUUGGAGGUUGUGCCCUUGAGGCGUGGCUUCCGGAGCUAACGCGUUAAGUAGACCGCCUGGGGAGUACGGCCGCAAGGUUAAAACUCAAAUGAAUUGACGGGGGCCCGCACAAGCGGUGGAGCAUGUGGUUUAAUUCGAUGCAACGCGAAGAACCUUACCUGGUCUUGACAUCCACGGAAGUUUUCAGAGAUGAGAAUGUGCCUUCGGGAACCGUGAGACAGGUGCUGCAUGGCUGUCGUCAGCUCGUGUUGUGAAAUGUUGGGUUAAGUCCCGCAACGAGCGCAACCCUUAUCCUUUGUUGCCAGCGGUCCGGCCGGGAACUCAAAGGAGACUGCCAGUGAUAAACUGGAGGAAGGUGAGGAUGACGUCAAGUCAUCAUGGCCCUUACGACCAGGGCUACACACGU
rnacentral:rRNA from 1 species